AUUAAAACCACCUGCUUUAUAUUGUGCAUGUUCCUCGCAUGCUGCCGGAACAGCACUGAUGCAUUGAGCCAUGGACUCCACAAGACUUCUAAACGUGUCCUGUGGUAUCUGGCACUAAGACAUCAGCAGCAGAUCCUUUAAGUCCUGUAAAUUGCGAAGCGGAGCCUCCAUGGAUGGGAUUUGUUCUUCCAGCAUAUCCCACAAAUGCUCAAUCAAAUUUAUAUCUUGGGAACCUGAAGGCCAAGGCAACAUCUUGAACACUUUGUCAUGUUCCUAAAACAAUUAGUUUUUGCAGUGUGGCAUGGUGAAUUAUCCUGCUGAAAGAGGCCACUGCUAUCAGGGAACACCACUGCCAUGGAGGGGUGUACGUAAUUUGCAACAAUCUCUUGGUACGUACAUGUCAAAGUAACAUCCACAUGAAUGCCAGGGUCCCAGGUUUCCCAGUAGAGCAUUGCCCAGAGCAUAACAUGGCCUCC